rnacentral:rRNA from 1 species
AACGGACGCUGGCGGCAGGCUUAACACAUGCAAGUCGAGCGCCCCGCAAGGGGAGCGGCAGACGGGUGAGUAACGCGUGGGAAUCUACCCAUCUCUACGGAAUAACGCAUGGAAACGUGUGCUAAUACCGUAUACGUCCUUCGGGAGAAAGAUUUAUCGGAGAUGGAUGAGCCCGCGUUGGAUUAGCUAGUUGGUGGGGUAAAGGCCUACCAAGGCGACGAUCCAUAGCUGGUCUGAGAGGAUGAUCAGCCACACUGGGACUGAGACACGGCCCAGGCUCCUACGGGAGGCAGCAGUGGGGAAUAUUGGACAAUGGGCGCAAGCCUGAUCCAGCCAUGCCGCGUGAGUGAUGAAGGCCCUAGGGUUGUAAAGCUCUUUCACCGGUGAAGAUAAUGACGGUAACCGGAGAAGAAGCCCCGGCUAACUUCGUGCCAGCCGCCGCGGUAAAAC